rnacentral:lncRNA from 1 species
AAUUUCAAUCUGUAAGCCUGGUGAGUGAUGAUCAUAAGACAUACCUCGUCUGGUUUUUUAGCAGUAAGCAGCGCAUUAGUAAAACCACACUGAACUUUUUUUAUGCCUGUUUUUUAAGGGCAGAUAGCACCAUUGACACUUGUCAAUAUGGUGAACAUAUUCCUCCUCUGGCCACCCUCCAAAGCUUCGCUUCCCAAACACUUGAGCUAUCUUCAUCACCACUGAUGGCUUCAUUCUCGCUAAGAAUCUCAAAAACACGUCAUUCAACCACAUACAAGUUCUCUAAAGUGGGUUUCGUACAAAACCCAAAAUGGAAACAUGGGAUUGAAUUGGAGAUGGCUGUCAUUGCCAUUGCCAAGCAUUUUACUUUUGACAUUACAACACUACAUGCUAUAUGGAGGAUCCAUUAGUAGCAGGAGUACUUGUUUUACUUUUUGCCUCUCAAAGUUGCAACAGAUCAUAUAUUUAGUAGGCAACAGCAGCAGCAGCAGCAGCAGCAGCAGCAAUGCUCCUGUUCUACUUCUUCUUCUAUCGAAGACAGACGGAACUUGUUCUCUCAUUAUUGCCUGAACGCAUCAUUUUCAUCAGUGUCCAAUCGACACCUUUUUUUCUUUCCUUUUCUCUGCUCUCAAGCACAGCACUGAACUUCAAGAUAAUCUCUCUCUCUAGAAAACUUUUAUAUCAAUUUAUGCUCAUGGCUGGUUAGUGUGUCCUUUGCAGGCUAGCUGUUUGUUUUAAUGCCUACUUUGCAAAAAUGACCUAGUAGUUGACAAAGGCAGAAUCAGCAAUUUCAACUUCCAGAUGCUAAAGUUUGGUUCAUUAAAGUAAGUUAUUAUGCUUUCCCUUUUCUCUUCCUCUCUUAGUGAUUGACGCGUCAUCCCUAACCACUCAAUUCUUUUUCUUUGAUAUUUGGGUUCUGUUGGCCUUCUUAGCUUGUUACUUUUUAACCAAAUGCUCGAAUUUGGCUAAAAGUAAGUGAUUAGUGCUUUAUGCAUCAUUAUGCCCGAAGAGAUAAACAUCUGCCUAGCUAAAGACUAUAGAGAAUCUUAUCUUGUUUGCUAAAGACAAUGGAGAAUCUCAUCUUGUAGUUUAGUUAUUUAAUUACCAUUCCUUUUAAUGGCUGCUUUGAAGAGAAGUUGAAUAUUGGAUGGCCUACAUUGUUCAAAUGGAACUUCUAAAGGCAUGAACUGGCAAUUUAGAAGAGCAUUUUGAGGACUGCAAUAACUUCUAUCAGUUUUUUAGUUUACUUUUUGAUGGAAAGAGAUGGCUCUAGGUGUUUUGAUGGUGCUAUUACUUCGAUUUGCGAUUUGCUUUGAUUGAUAAGAAUUUUUUAAUCUGCUUACUCAAGACCCAUUUAACUUGCAAUGUUGUGAUUCGUUAAACGAAAGGCAUCUUUAUCAUCUUAUAAUUCCUCUUCAUUCGCAAUUGUAUCCCGCAAAAUAUACUCAUUUUUUUCUUCAACCUUCAGGAUGUUGUACCAACUACCAACUAAAAGUUAUAGGUCUUCUAGUGUAAUUAUAUAUAUAUUCAUGUUUACAUAACUUCAUUCUUGAACAUCAACACUUUACCUUCUCUACGAAUAUUGACAAGAUGGGUUCCUCCUGAUCUUAGCAAUUCGUGCACUGGACUAAUCCUCCUCCAGGCAUGCUUUAUAUUUUUUUUAGCUGGUGUUAUUGGAGUGGUCCUCUAGUGGCCUUGGUCUUUCUUAAUAUAAUCCAUUAUUGCACCAAAAAAAAAUACUGACAAUAUUAUUUAAAUGACUAUGGUCUGCUGCAACUAAAAGGUAAAUGAAUAGUGAAUCUAGAUUGGUUCAGUUAUAAAAAAUGCAGUGAUACAGUUAAUGAAUGUAUCGGAGAUGACCAUGAGGAGUUGUUAAUGUUUUAGGCAAGAAGCUGCUGUUUUAUGUGCUUCUAGGUGAUAGGUUGCAUGUAUUGGAGAUGAAGUUACAGUCAUAAGACUACUAUAUCUUUAACUCAACUUAUAGAUUCCUCCGUUAAUAACUGAUUAUAAAUUGUAAUUUCUUUUUCUGUUCGUCUAUAUACCAUAUGAUAGGAAAAUUAUCCAUUUACAUUCGAAAACAAUUAACAAAAAAAACCCUCAUAUUUUGUGCAGGUAUACAUGUCUGUUUAAUAUGUGUUGAAGACCAUUUUCCACUAACCCUUGUUUUCAUCUCUGUGCGAGCCAACAUUCUUGAGC